rnacentral:rRNA from 1 species
GAUGGACGCUGGCGGUCUGCUUAACACAUGCAAGUCGAACGAACUCUUCGGAGUGAGUGGCGGACGGGUGAGUAACGCGUGAGAAUCUGGCUGUGGGUCGGGGACAACCACUGGAAACGGUGGCUAAUACCGGAUGAGCCUUUUGGUAAAAGAGAAAUUGCCUGGAGAUGAGCUCGCGUCUGAUUAGCUAGUUGGUGAGGUAAAAGCUUACCAAGGCGACGAUCAGUAGAUGGUCUGAGAGGAUGAGCAGCCACACUGGGACUGAGACACGGCCCAGACUCCUACGGGAGGCAGCAGUGGGGAAUUUUCCGCAAUGGGCGAAAGCCUGACGGAGCAAGACCGCGUGGGGGAGGAAGGC